ACCGUUCAGGGGUAAACCUGAGAAACCCAAAAGAUCGAAUGGGGAGAUUCAUCGUCAACGGUGCCGGCUCCCGUUGGUGCGCGAUGCUCCGAAUGGACCCUUGCGGGCUCCAUCGCGAGGGCACGCCACYUUCGGCUCGAACGUUCCGGUGCGCGUAGUCGUGCACUUCUCCCCUAGUAGAACGUCGCGACCCGUUGUGUGUCGGCCUACGGCCCGAGCGGGUGACUGUCGCGGUCGCGUUUCGCGCGCGCGGCAGACCCUCGGAUGCCCGGCCGGCUGCACGACGGUACUCCCACGGUAUCGGGCCGCAACCAAUCCGAUUUUCGAAUCGUAUGUGCGUCUAGCCCGCCGCAAGCUCGAUCAGUUCUUACCCGGUGGUCGGACCCAGUGCCGUCCCCGGGCCUGAUCAGCUGUUAGCAGGCGGUGUCCUCGGACUGGCCAAGCUUCGAAUUACCGGUCGGCGACGCUACUGCUUUGGGUACUCUCAGGACCCGUCUUGAAACACGGACCAAGGAGUCUAACAUGUGCGCGAGUCAUUGGGAUGCAUAAACCUAAAGGCGAAAUGAAAGUGAAGGUCGUCCUUCGCGUCGACCGAGGGAGGAUGGGCCGCGUUACGAGGCGGCCCCGCACUCCCGGGGCGUCUCGUCUCAUUGCGAGAAGAGGCGCACCCAGAGCGUA
rnacentral:rRNA from 1 species